CCGUAGGGGAACCUGCGGAAGGAUCAUUA
rnacentral:ncRNA from 3 species